UACGUAGGGGGCAAGCGUUGUCCGGAGUCAUUGGGCGUAAAGCGCGUGUAGGCGGCCAGAAAAGUCCGCUGUGAAAACUCGAGGCUCAACCUCGAGACGCCGAUGGAAACCAUUUGGCUAGAGUCCGGAAGAGGAGAGUGGAAUUCCCGGUGUAGCGGUGAAAUGCGCAGAUAUCGGGAAGAACACCCGUGGCUAAGGCGGCUCUCUAGUACGGUACUGACGCUGAGACGCGAAAGCGUGGGGAGCGAACAGG
rnacentral:rRNA from 1 species